rnacentral:pre_miRNA from 14 species
GUUCUCCGUCAAGCUUAUGGAGUCAUCACGUGUAACAGCAACUCCAUGUGGACUGUGCACAGAUCCCAGUGGAGCUGCUGUUACUUUUGAUGGCCUCCAGCCUGCUACAAACACUGG